CCUUCGAUAGCUCAGUUGGCAGAGCGGAGGACUGUAGGUGCUCAUAGCGGUCAUCCUUAGGUCGCUGGUUCGACUCCGGCUCGAAGGAGGGCUGUCUCCGUGCGAGUUGGCUUCUUUUUUUUUCAAAAUGUUAAUUUGGCCAGAGGUGAUUAAAAGAUCUUCCCUGACCGGGAAUCGAACCCGGGCCGCGGCGGUGAGAGCGCCGAAUCCUAACCACUAGACAACCAGGGACGAAAAACCGAGAAAUGGUGGCCUCUUCGCUGGCCAUGCUGGCCCCUGUCUACCACCAAAAGCUCCUACAAAAGGCACGUGAGUGUCAGCACUGGAAAGUGGAGCAAUAAGAUGGUGGCUUGGUCUGAUGAAUCAUGUUUUCUUUUACAUCAUGUAUGGCUUAGGGUUAGGGUUAGAAAAGGCUUGAAAAGACGCUUGGCCAAG
ensembl:lncRNA